rnacentral:rRNA from 1 species
AACGCGAAGAACCUUACCUGGGUUUGAACUGCAGGGGACCGAUACAGAGAUGUAUCUUCCCUUCGGGGCCCCUGCGGAGGUGCUGCAUGGCUGUCGUCAGCUCGUGUCGUGAGAUGUUGGGUUAAGUCCCGCAACGAGCGCAACCCUUGCCAGUAGUUGCCAUCGGGUAAUGCCGGGAACUCUACUGGGACUGCCGGUGUUAAACCGGAGGAAGGUGGGGAUGAUGUCAAGUCCUCAUGGCCCUUAUGUCCAGGGCUACACACGUGCUACAAUGGUCGGUACAAAGGGUCGCCAAGCCGCGAGGUGGAGCUAAUCCCAAAAAACCGAUCUCAGUUCGGAUUGCAGUCUGCAACUCGACUGCAUGAAGUCGGAAUCGCUAGUAAUCGUGGAUCAGCAUGCCACGGUGAAUACGUUCCCGGGCCUUGUACACACCGCUAGUC